GGUGGUUGGCGUGUAUGGGCAUGUUGGAUCCCUGCUCGGGCAGCGACGGCAUUUCCCGCACGGCUCUUCAUUGGUCGGCACAAGCUCGGGCUUGUCCGAAGUCGGUUUUCCUGUGUUGAAUACCUAUCGCGAGGGCAUUCGGUCGGCUAAAACGGUCCCAUCUCCGCCUUGCGUCGCUGCUCCCCGCGGGACGGCGGCGCGGGGUGGAUCUCAUGGCACGCGCCGUGUUUCGCACCGCAUCCGCCUACAUCGGCGUUUGGGUYGACGACCCACGGCGCGCUGCUCGUUGCCUCGGGUACGGAACAUCGGGUGGGUACGGGGCCAUYGGCCYCCGAUCACCACAUGAAUGCGUUCUACGCUVUUUGCGAACGACGGUCGGCCCGGUCUUUGGCCGUGCACUCGUGGCUC
rnacentral:misc_RNA from 1 species